AGUCCUUUGUUGGAUGUAUAGAUUGUGAAGAUUUUCUCCCACUCUCUGGGAGUUAAAAAGAAUUCUGCUGUAGCCUACCAUCUCGUGACUUCAAGUUUGUCUUUAUUACACCAAGACAACAUGGAAGUUAUGAGAUCCAUAAUGAUUUUUAAAUCGAACACAAACACACUGGCAACUUAUGGAAAAAAAUAAGAAAUGUUACAAUAUUACAACCAGAUGGUUUGCCAAAAUGCAGAACAAAUUAAAAAAUAAAGAAAGCAUGAAAAAGAGCACUGAGGAACAAAGAGCUGAGAACCAUGGGCAGUGAACAUGUUGACAAACAGCACACUAUGAGCGGGCGUUUAUUCCACUUGGUACC